rnacentral:rRNA from 1 species
UACAGAGGUGGCAAGCGUUUGUCCGGAAUUACUGGGCGUAAAGAGCUCGUAGGUGGUUUGUCGCGUUGUUCGUGAAAACUCACAGCUUAACUGUGGGCGUGCGGGCGAUACGGGCAGACUGGAGUACUGCAGGGGAGACUGGAAUUCCUGGUGUAGCGGUGGAAUGCGCAGAUAUCAGGAGGAACACCGGUGGCGAAGGCGGGUCUCUGGGCAGUAACUGACGCUGAGGAGCGAAAGCGUGGGGAGCGAACAGG